rnacentral:sRNA from 2 species
CUUCAGGAUCGCUAGGGUUCCGGUCGGACGCUUUCAUGCGCACGAUGCCUGGUCCGAGAGCAAUCCGGUCUUGCCGUUCACCUUCUUUCAAGGCGCCGGCGAGGCUCCACGGAGGGAUAAAAGCCCGGGAGGU